rnacentral:tRNA from 1 species
GGCGGGGUAGCCAAGUGGUAAGGCCGAGGUCUGCAAAACCUCUAUUCGCGGGUUCGAUUCCCGACCCCGCCU